UGUGUGCAGUGGUUUUACUCACAUUACUGCUGCUUCUAUGGCGUUUUUUAAAGACUAAAGACUUGUGCUUUCUGAGGACCAAUCAGAGCUCUGCUGAAGAUCAUGUGACCAGCAAUGACCACACCUCCUCUCCAAAUGG